rnacentral:lncRNA from 1 species
UUCCUUUACCAUUUUGGUGCUGUGACUCAGAUUGAUAUUUACUUUUCUAGAUCUUUAUUGUAGACCUUGAAUUCGUGGUGACUGGAAGGAUAUUUUAAGACAACUGAAAGUCUCUGGUUGGAGAUACUCUGCUGGGACUGAAACUCUUGAUUGAGACUCAGAUCCUCCAGACCCUAGAGGUAAGAAACUGAGGCUUUCUUUUCAGUCUUUUUGGCAGAUAGGUCUUGCCCACUGACAAUUGAAAGUCACCUGGCUAGGGCAAUACUGUAAUGGAAUCUGAAGUUCAAUGACUACAGGAUUUUUGAACCCCAGAGACCAUUAGGGGAAAAAGACCUCUUUCCCUUCCUCAUACCCUUUUCAUCUUGAGAUGGGUGUUUGAGAAUAAAGGGAGAAAUGCUGAAUUUAAAAGGAAGUACCCUUGACCCUGCCUUUGUAUCAUAAAGGCAGUGGGCAGGUGUAGGGAAAACUGGCAUGAAAUUAUGUAACUCCAUCCUAGCUCUACCUCUAGUUCAGUCCCUAGCAUCUGUCCCUCUAUUAAUAUUAAUUCCCUACACCAAUGGGUUGCUGUCUCUCCCAUUGGAGAUAGCCAGCAUUCUCACUUGAAUGUGUAUUCCUUGCUUUACUCCAAAGGUAGCAUUAUCUUGAGAUUGUCCCCAUUCUCCAUUAAAUAUAUAUCUACUUUUCUAAAUAAUUCUCUAUCUAUGCCUUAGACUGGUGUGUGCUGAAAUUUUUUUCUGUCUCAUAUGCCAAGAACCUCGGUGGUCCUGAGUCAGGUUAUCCCUUCUCUCUGGGAACCCUUCUUCAGAGACAUCCCUUCUGCGAUAACCUCUAUCUCUGGACCAACCAAACGUCGUAGGACCUCACUCAAGUCUCAAAUCAGUGGGAACUUGAAUUCACAUUUAAGUGACUAGAAAGUGAUUUGACAAUGAAUGGGGAAAAUGAAGGCCCAUUAACUUCCUUAAAUAAUAAAUGGAAUGAUUAACAUUU